rnacentral:rRNA from 1 species
UACGUAGGGCGCAAGCGUUGUCCGGAAUUAUUGGGCGUAAAGAGCUCGUAGGCGGUGUGUCACGUCGUUCGUGAAAACCUGCAGCUUAACUGUGGGCGUGCGGUCGAUACGAGCAAACUAGAGUGUUGCAGGGGAGACUGGAAUUCCUGGUGUAGCGGUGAAAUGCGCAGAUAUCAGGAGGAACACCGGUGGCGAAGGCGGGUCUCUGGGCAACAACUGACGCUGAGGAGCGAAAGCGUGGGGAGCGAACAGG